rnacentral:lncRNA from 1 species
CACCUGUAGACAGGUAAAGUGCGGAUCACUUCGGGGCUCACUCUAUCUCUAUGUCACAACCUCACACUGGGACUGAAGUUUUUUGAUCAGGGGGAUUUUAAUUCUGCCGAUAGAGGACGAUGUUAGGAAACAAAAUACUACCUACUGUACAUAUGACAUCUUUACCCAAUAAUAACAGGUUUUCAUAUGAUGCGUUAAAGAACUUCAAGACCAUCAUGAAAAGGACUCCUCCAGGCUGUGUAAGGGCUAUUUGACCAAGAAGGAGAGUGAUGGAGUGUUCCGUCAGAUGACCUGGCCUCCACAAUCCCCCGACCUCAACCAAAUUCAGAUGGUUUGGGAUGAGUCAGACCGCAGAGUGAAGGAAAAGCAGCUAACAAGUGCUCAGCAUAUGUGGGAAGUCCUUCAAGACCGUUGGAAAAGCGUUGUGUCAGUACGUAACACGCCAGUUUGGCAUGGAGGAAAAGGAGGAGUAGGGAGAUCCGGCUUUCCUAUGUCACUGCCUGUCACUGACGUUUCCCAUUGUUGUCCUAAGUGAACAUCCCCACGGAUAGAACUGACCUGCUAGCUAGCUAACUUUAUACACUGUUUAAGUGAAUUACAUGUUAUCAGCUUCCUAUCGGCUAGCCAUCUUGAUGUAAUCAUUGUAAAUUAAAAACAGUCUCCAAAUGCAUAGAAAACAGCCAUUGAAGAGGGUGAAAUUGCAGCUACAGUUGUCAGUAAAGGGAGAGUGUAGGCUACUGGAUAGGGCAGGUAAUAUUGUGGGAGAACAUUAUGAAAAGAUUCUCCAGUCCCUAGAGGAGAAAACUUUGAGGACAAAGAGAUAAUAGCAACAUAAUAUUCAGUGCUGUCCAAUUUGAGUAGAAUAAAGCCUGUUUCUUUGUAGUAAUUUCAGAUGUGGAAAGCUGUGAAAGUCUGUUCGCAGAUGAAGAGAGAGGUCCCAAUGAAUGUCCCAAGAGACUAAGGAUAUAUACUAUAUGCCAUGGGUUAUAUGUUAACGUUACACACAAUGUAUAGACCUAUUACAACUAGAGGAGGCCAACCCUGAUGGAGGUCUGCUGGGUGUGCAGGGUUCUGUUUCAGCCCAGCAAUAACACAUCUGAUUCAACUUAAUAAUCAAGUGUGCUAUUGCUGGGCUGGAAAAUAUGUCUGCUCACCCAGUACAUCGGGGAUCAGUGGAGCAAGGUUGGCCAUUGCUGGUGUGGACUUUUACUUGUUCACCUGAAAUGAUACUUUAGUAAUAAUAGCCUACUUGUUACUACUCCAUGAUCUAUUGUUGUUUAGACUUAUCUAAUCUUUCCAUAUGAGUUAGCUUAUUUGUACAUUUUGAAGUGAUGAAGUGGUGGUUCUUUGAAGUGAAAAUCAUUAUUUAAAAUGAACUAGUGUCAAUGUUGAUUAAUCACAGAUCACACUCCUGCAAUAAAGAGGGGAAGGGGUUCUGUCUCUGUCUGUGUUUCUGUGGGUGUAUUGUCUGGUUGUAAGAUCUCCAAUCUGUUUAAUUUGAUUGUCACUUUCUCAGCGUAUCAGCCAUGUGUAUCCAUUUAGCA